rnacentral:rRNA from 1 species
UACGGGGGGGGCAAGCGUUGUUCGGAAUUACUGGGCGUAAAGGGCUCGUAGGUGGCCAACUAAGUCAGACGUGAAAUCCCUCAGCUUAACUGGGGAACUGCGUCUGAUACUGGAUGGCUUGAGAUUGGGAGAGGGAUGCGGAAUUCCAGGUGUAGCGGUGAAAUGCGUAGAUAUCUGGAGGAACACCGGUGGCGAAGGCGGCAUCCUGGACCAACACUGACACUGAGGAGCGAAAGCCAGGGGAGCAAACGGG